AUCGAGCUGAAGAGUCCCAAACAGGAUGAAAUGCACAUCCUGGAU
rnacentral:hammerhead_ribozyme from 1 species